rnacentral:rRNA from 1 species
AUUCCAGCUCCAAUAGCGUAUAUUAAAGUUGUUGCGGUUAAAAAGCUCGUAGUUGGAUUUCUGUUGAGGGCAGCCGGUCCGCACCUGGUGCGUGUAUCUGGUUUGGUCUCGGCAUCCUCUCAAAAUACGUUUCUGCGCUUGAUUGCGUGGGGCGGAGUUUGAGACUUUUACUUUGAGGAAAUUAGAGUGUUCACGGCAGGCAAUCGCCUUGAAUAUAUUAGCAUGGAAUAAUAAUAUAGGAUUUUGGUUCUAUUUUGUUGGUUUCUAGAGCUAGAAUAAUGAUUAAUAGGGACAAUUGGGGGCAUUCGUAUUAACACGUCAGAGGUGGAAUUCUUGGAUUGUGUUACGACGAACUACUGCGAAAGCAUUUGCCAAGGAUGUUUUCAUUA